CUGUCGCGACGUGUUGGGUCGUUCGUAUGUAGCGUGCUGCGUGCAGCGCCAGCGUGUCCUUGUGUUUCUCUGUCACAUCAGGCGGCAGCGUCCGGCUGCGAGAGCAGAGCCAUGCGCUGGUUCGGCGAAAGGAGCAAGUCGGUGGACGAAGGCGGCGGCGCGGCGGGCACCGGAGACGGCAUCUUCAGCAAACUGCACCUGCCGGUGUCGGGGUGCUGGCCGCCGCUGCCGUCCGCUGUGAAGCUGGACUCGCUGCUGACCUGCCCCUCCCUCAACCUCAACGUCAGCAUGCCCUCCUCGCUCAGGACACGCAAGGGGUGGUGCGGCUGUCUGCAGGAUGCCGAGCCGCCAGAGAUCACAUACUGCGUGGUGGAGCAGGCAGGCACGCUGUCGCUCACUCCGACCCAGCCCAUGCCUGCCCCAGAGGAGCUGAACGCCAAGUUUGCAGAGCUCGUGGAGGAGCUCGACCUGACGGCACCGAACAAGGCGGCGAUGCUGAGUUUGCCUCCAGAGAAAAAGUGGCAGAUAUACUGUAGCAAGAAGAAGGACCAGGAGGGCGAAACGGAUCUGUCUCACUUGCCGGAGCACUACAUAGAGCGCGUCAAGGCUCUCGCCAUGCUUCAAUUUCCAACAGUGGACGCAGACGAUGAGGUGCGGUCCCGCACGCGGCAGCUGGAUGCACUGAAGACAGCGCUGCGCACCCAGCCGCACAGCUUUGUACUGCGCUUUGUGGAACUGGAUGGUCUGCCCGCACUGCUCUCCUUCCUGGGGGGCAUGGACUACCAGACAGCACAGAGUUCUGUCCACACCUCACUCAUCGGCUGUGUCAAGGCGCUCAUGAACAACUCGAACGGUAGAGCGCACGUACUGGCACAUCCCACAGCUAUCGACACGAUAGCGCAGAGCCUGAGCACAGAGAAUGUCAAGACAAAGAUUGCCGUGUUGGAGAUCCUUGGUGCUGUGUGCCUGGUGCCUGGUGGGCACCGCAAGGUGCUGCAGGCGAUGCUCCACUAUCAAGCGUAUGCAGCCGAGCGCACACGCUUCCAGGGCAUAGUGAAUGACUUGGACAGGAGCACAGGCAUAUACCGUGAUGAAGUGAACUUGAAGACAGCCAUAAUGUCAUUUGUGAAUGCCGUCCUCAACUACGGACCCGGCCAGGAAAACCUCGAGUUCCGUUUGCACCUGCGCUACGAGUUCCUCAUGCUCGGCAUCCAGCCAGUCAUUGAUAAGCUCAGGGGCCACGAGAAUGAGACACUGGAUAGGCAUCUGGACUUCUUUGAGAUGGUUCGAAAUGAAGAUGAGAAAGAGUUGGCCAGGAAAUUUGAAAAGGAGCACAUAGACACAAAGAGCGCGACGGCAAUGUUUGACCUGCUACGUCGCAAGCUGAGCCACACGGCAGCCUAUCCCCACCUCCUGUCAUUGCUCCAUCACUGCAUUCUACUGCCAUUGGACUACGGUUCCCAUCCACAACACUGGCUGCUGUUUGAUCGGAUAGUGCAGCAGCUGGUCCUCCAAGGCGAAAACAGCAACAACCCUGAUGUGGCUCCUCUCCAUAUCAACGUCAAAGAGCUGGUGCACUUGCUCGCAAAGGAAGAAGAGUUGGUGGCUGCAAGGAACCGAGCAGAUGAACUGGAGAAGGAAAAUGCAGAUCUCGCCUCACGGUUGGCCAAGAAGGAGCAGGAACUGGAUCUCCGACUGCAAGAAAAGGAAGACAUGGAGACAAACUUACAAAGAGUCAAGGAGAGGCUCGAGAAGGAGACGGCAGCCCACCUAGAGAUGAAGCAGCGCUGCUUGGAGCUGGAAGAUCGUGCCUGUGAGCUGGACCGACAGGUGGCCUCAGAGAGGGGGGAGAGGCAUCGCCUGGAACGGCUUGUCAGCUCAGGGUCGCUGCCAGAUGAUGCCAAGGUGGUCGGGCUGCGCUCGGGACUCGGGGAUGGCUACGACAACCGACUCGCCCCAACGACGCCCCCGGAUGGCAGUGGCAGCCCUGCACCCCCACCGCCACCCCCACCUCCGUUGUCUGACACCCCAGAGCAGACACAGUGUCUCUCCUCCUCAGUUCCUCCCCCACCACCCCCUCAGGCUCCCCCAACUGCACCUCCGCCCGUACCUGUACCCCCUCCGACACCUCGGCCAGAGAAGAAUGUGCCACAGCCUUCCAACCCACUUAAGUCGUUCAAUUGGUCUAAGCUGCCAGAUGCCAAAGUCACGGGCACUAUCUGGUCGGAACUGGAUGACAGCAAGCUGUACAUGGCAAUGGACCUCGAGAGCAUAGACAAGCUUUUCUGUGCCUAUCAGAAGAAUGGGAUUACAAAUGAAGGCUCUGUAGAAGAUCUAUCAAAGCUGGGCAAGAACCGCACAAAAGUCAUCUCAGUAAUAGAUGGUAGACGUGCCCAGAAUUGCACCAUCUUACUGUCCAAGCUUAAAAUGUCAGACGAAGAAAUUUCUAGAGCCAUACUAAGCAUGGACAGCAGGGACCAGCUCCCAAUCGAUAUGGUGGAGCAGCUGCUCAAGUUCACGCCAUCAGCAGAAGAGGCUGCUCUGCUGGAAGAGCACGCAGAGGAGAUUGACAGCCUGGCACGAGCUGACCGCUUCCUGUACGAAAUAUCAAAGAUUGGCCACUACGAGCAGCGGCUAAGGAGCCUGCACUACAAGAAGCGCUUCACAACAUCGGUGUGCGAGCUGGAACCACGCGUGAGGGCAGUGCUGGAGGCCUCGCGGGAGGUAGCACGGUCGCGGCGCCUGCGGCGUCUGUUGGAAGUGGUGCUGGCAUUGGGCAACUACAUGAACCGCGGUGCACGUGGCAAUGCCCGUGGCUUCCGCCUGGCCUCCCUGAACAGGCUGGCCGACACACGGUCCAGUGCAGCUCGCGGCACUACCUUGCUGCACUACCUCGUGGAGGUGCUCGACAAGAAGUUCAAAGACAUUCUGAAACUGGAUGAAGACCUCCCUCAUGUAAGGGAAGCUGCAAAAGUGAGUAUGGGGGAACUCGAGAAGGACAUGUCGGCGCUGAGGGGAGGCCUGAAGGAGGUGGAGCGGGAGAUCGAGUUUCACCGAUCGCAGGCAUCUGUGGUGCCAGGAGACCGCUUCCUGCCCAUCAUGAGGGAGUUCCUGUCCUCUGCCACCUGCCGCUUCUCGGAACUCGAGGACCUCUUCCAGGAUAUGAAGACACGGUUUGAUCGGGCUGUCCGGCUAUUUGGAGAAGAUAAUGCUGCAUCAGUACAGCCAGACGAGUUCUUUGGUAUCUUUGAUGCCUUCCUGAAUGCAUUCAAUGAAGCUCAUCAGGACAAUGAGAAUCUCCGAAGACGGAGGGAGGAAGAAGAAAGGAGAGCAAUACAGGAAGCAGAAUUGAAAAAGCGCACAAUAGAACGCAAGAGCUCUCGGGAAAGCAUCCUAGCUCGAGUAGGUUCUUCACUCCGUAACGGCCUGAACAAUGGCACUGUGCCCGGCCCUGAUGGCCGGAUUGCCAUAGGUCUGCGGCGCCGUGAGAGUGAUUCAGCAGCCAAGGGGGAGUUUGACGAUCUGAUAUCGGCCCUACGGACUGGAGAUGUCUUUAGUGACGAUGUUGCCAAAUUUAAGCGCAGCCGCAAGGCUCGAAUGAAUGGAUCGCCUCCCGGAUCGUCUGUGGACGGUGGUCGAGAGAGAGUUGUGACCGCUGUAGGUGGCAACACGCGCCUUGGCCAGUAGUUCUUCAAUUGUAGCAUCAUCAUGGGUCUGUUAUCAGCUUCAAAAUAUCAAGGUACCUGGCAAGAAAAAUAAGAGUCAUCAUGGGUCUGUUAUCAGCUUCAAAAUAUCAAGGACCUACAUGGCUGCCCUGUGAAGCGCAUACGGUCUCAGGAGAGGAAACAGGGAUCAACAUAAUCCAGCACAUGCCAUGGCAAUGGUUUUCCUGUCCAGAAUACUGUGGUGGAAAAUGGAUUGCUUCAUCAUACACUGUGUAAAGUCUGAAUUUUUAAACACAUCAAUUUUGAUUCCACAUUUUUUUUUAUAGCCGACAACAAUUCAACUGAAACUGAAUGCUUUGCAUUAUAAUGUAAAGCUGGCCUAUCAUUUUGAAGAAUCAUACUAUAAUUUUUAAAUUCUGGAGCUGAAUCACAUGAAAAUGUUACCAAAUGUUCAGCUAACGACUCUUACUUCCUCGAUGCAUAACCAAAGAUGUGACUUAUUCGAAGUAGCUAGUUGUCCUUAUAUUAUAAUUAUGGAAACUGUAAUCCUAGUCUCCCUGAAUGUCUAGAUGCAAACAAAAUGUUGCUGCACUUUUGUGCAAUAAAGAAAUGAUGCUUUUUAGGUAGAGUGUGCGAAGAGAGUUAAAUUUCAGGCUUGUGGUAAGUUGUAAUAUUUUAUCACAAUGUCACGAAGCUUUGGAAUCUUUUACACUUUGGUACUGUACAUUUUAUACAAUAUUGAUUUUGGGGACCAGGAGAAAGUUUCACUGCAUUUUGUUUAGUUCGGGCCACUGCUGCGACCUGGCUGAAUGCCUUGCAUUGUCACACUGCCACUCGGGUCUCUCCAGCGCAGACUGACCCGUCUUUACCAACCAACUUCACUGAUCUUGUGGGAUUUCAAAGCAGAAACAGGGAAACAUUCAAAAUUUACAAGAGACUGUUUUUGUAGAAAUCAGUAUUUUUAAUCAUUUUCGUACAUACUUGUGAUGAAAUUUCCGUAUAUUUUGUAUGAAUAUAUAUUUCUCAAACUUUAA